rnacentral:rRNA from 1 species
GAGCGACGAACCAGACUUCGGUCUGGGGCCAAGCCGCGAACGGGUGAGUAACACGUGGGUAACCUGCCCCGAUGAUCGGGACAACCCGGGGAAACCCGGGCUAAUACCGAAUGUGGUCGCGGUCCGUGAGGACUGUGACGAAAGGAAGCUUCGGCCUCCGCAUCGGGAUGGGCCCGCGGCCCAUUAGCUUGUUGGUGGGGUAAUGGCCUACCAAGGCAUCGAUGGGUAGCUGGUCUGAGAGGACGAUCAGCCACACUGGGACUGAGACACGGCCCAGACUCCUACGGGAGGCAGCAGUGGGGAAUCUUGCGCAAUGCGCGAAAGCGUGACGCAGCAACGCCGCGUGGGGGAAGAAGGCUCUCGGGUCGUAAACCCCUUUCAGUUGGGACGAAGCUUUCGCCGGUGAAUAGCCGGCCGGAGCGACGGUACCUUCACAAGAAGCCCCGGCUAACUACGUGCCAGCAGCCGCGGUAAUACGUAGGGGGCAAGCGUUGUCCGGAAUCAUUGGGCGUAAAGCGCGUGUAGGCGGCUUGAUAAGUCUGUUGUGAAAGUCCAGGGCUCAACCCUGGAAUGCCGAUGGAUACUGUCAAGCUCGAGUCCGGAAGAGGCGAGUGGAAUUCCUGGUGUAGCGGUGAAAUGCGCAGAUAUCAGGAGGAACACCAAUGGCGAAGGCAGCUCGCUGGGACGGUACUGACGCUGAGACGCGAAAGCGUGGGGAGCAAACA